CCUGAUACAGUACCAGAGAACCUGAAUUGCUACUACCCUACUGAUACUAGACCCAUUACUGAUACUAUAUCAGUAGCUGUAUGUUAUGAAUGAAGGAUAGUUCUAAUGGGAAGUGACUAGCUAAUGAGCCUGACUAAUCCCAACAUUAGCCUACGUUUCCUGGUGCCACACCUUUAUAUGAGACGCUCAUAUUGGGAUAAACAACAAGUGUGCAGUCAUCGCCAGAUCAUACUUCGAGAUACCGUGUUUUGUGGCUCUACACCUCCAGCCUGCCUGCUUCACCCCCUCCAGCCUGAUGCGCCCCACUCUCCAACCUUCCCCCCGCCUCCCUCCUGGUUAUACCAAAUAAACCUGUUCACCUUCACUCCAAC
ensembl:lncRNA